AUGGAUCCAUAUGUGGUGACUUCCAUGAUCGCGGAGACCACCAUCCUAUGGAAGCCAUAAGUGUUUCCAGAUGUUGCCGUUGUUCCAGGGGAUAAAAUUUGAGUCAGUCAGUUGUGUUAUUUUGGUGCUGUGUCUCAUUGUUUGCCCUUGUAUUUGAGGUAGCAAGGGGGGUGGGUUUAUGGCCCCCUUGCCUGAUCAUUUCGCCUCUUGUUAAAAUAACCAUUACCUUAGCAUUAAUAACGACAUUUGAAGGCCUGGCUUCUAUUGUUGCAACUUGGAAGGGUUAAAUUUGUUUCUUUGCUUUAUCUGUGUUUGUCUUCUUUUAAGUCGUAUG
rnacentral:lncRNA from 1 species